rnacentral:rRNA from 1 species
GAUGAACGCUAGCGACAGGCCUAACACAUGCAAGUCGAGGGGCAGCACGAGGUAGCAAUACUGAGGUGGCGACCGGCGCACGGGUGAGUAACACGUAUGCAACCUACCUGUAAGAGGGGAAUAACCCGGAGAAAUUCGGACUAAUACCGCAUAACACUGCCAUACCGCAUGGUAUAGCAGUUAAACAUUUAUGGUUUACAGAUGGGCAUGCGUAUGAUUAGAUAGCUGGUGAGGUAACGGCUCACCAAGUCAACGAUCAUUAGGGGUUCUGAGAGGAAGGUCCCCCACUCUGGUACUGAGACACGGACCAGACUCCUACGGGAGGAAGGAGUGAGGAAUAGUGGUCAAUGGGCGAGAGCCUGAACCAGCCAAGUCGCGUGAAGGAAGAAGGUUCUAUGGAUUGUAAACUUCUUUUGUAAGGGAAUAAAAAGAGUUACGUGUAACUUAUCGUAUGUACUUUACGAAUAAGGAUCGGCUAACUCCGUGCCAGCCGCCGCGGUAA